rnacentral:rRNA from 1 species
AGAGUUUGAUCCUGGCUCAGAUUGAACGCUGGCGGCAGGCCUAACACAUGCAAGUCGAGCGGUAGCACAGAGAGCUUGCUCUCGGGUGACGAGCGGCGGACGGGUGAGUAAUGUCUGGGAAACUGCCUGAUGGAGGGGGAUAACUACUGGAAACGGUAGCUAAUACCGCAUAAYGUCGCAAGACCAAAGUGGGGGACCUUCGGGCCUCAUGCCAUCAGAUGUGCCCAGAUGGGAUUAGCURGUAGGUGGGGUAAYGGCUCACCUAGGCGACGAUCCCUAGCUGGUCUGAGAGGAUGACCAGCCACACUGGAACUGAGACACGGUCCAGACUCCUACGGGAGGCAGCAGUGGGGAAUAUUGCACAAUGGGCGCAAGCCUGAUGCAGCCAUGCCGCGUGUGUGAAGAAGGCCUUCGGGUUGUAAAGCACUUUCAGCGGGGAGGAAGGCGAUAAGGUUAAUAACCUUGUCGAUUGACGUUACCCGCAGAAGAAGCACCRGCUAACUCCGUGCCAGCAGCCGCGGUAAU